rnacentral:rRNA from 1 species
AUUGAACGCUGGCGGCAGGCCUAACACAUGCAAGUCGAGCGGAGCGGCGGACGGGUGAGUAAUGCCUAGGAAUCUGCCUGGGAGUGGGGGAUAACGUCCGGAAACGGGCGCUAAUACCGCAUACUAUCAGACGCGCAUAGGUCGGAUUAGCAAGUGGGUGGGGUAAAGGCCUACCAAGGCGACGAUCCGUAACUGGUCGGAGAGGAGGAUCAGUCACACUGGGAGUGAGAAACGGUCCCGACUCCUACGGGAGGCCGAAGGGGGGAAGAGUUGACAAUGGGCGAAAGCCUUAUCCAGCCCUGCCGCGUGUGGGAAGAAGGUCUUGGGAUUGGAAAGGACUUUAAGUUGGGAGGCGUUACCGAACGAAUAAGCACCGGCUGACUUCGUGCCAGCCGGCGCGGUAAUUC